rnacentral:pre_miRNA from 1 species
GUUAUGUGGAUAGUGUUAAGCACCAAGUACAGGUGUGUAUACCUGCAUGUGGAUGGUGUUCAGCACCAAGGACAGGGGUGUUUUCCU